AGCUGCUUGGCGCAGCGGAAGCGCGCCGGGCUCAUAACCCGGAGGACCUCGGAUCGUAAGUUCAUCUGCUA
rnacentral:tRNA from 1 species